UAGAAUUUCCUAAAUUUUCCUAGAAUUGCCCUUAUUUAUUUGGAUUAUCCUGUAUUUGCUCGGUUUUUCCCGAAUUUGCUUGGAUUUGUAUAGAUAUACACAGAUUUCACCAAAUUUGCCAGGAUUUGUACCAAUCUUUUCAGAUUUGCCUGGAUUAGGAUAAAUUAGAACGAAUUUGCACAGAAGUUACAGCAGACCUUAGCAGAAUUUAUUUGAACUUGUCCAGAAGUAAUAAAUUUGUCUGGGAGCAUUGGAAUUUUGGCCGAAUUAAGCCGGACCUGCCCAAAAUUUGUAAGUUAGAUCGUGUAAAUAUGAAAAUGCAUAGAACCCCUCGAAGAUAUUCGAAAUUAGUUGAAUUUAGCAGGACUUGUCCAGAGUUAAGAAAGUACAUUAUUUUCAUGAUUAAAUUAAUAGAAAUUUAAUCAAAAGAAAAAUUUUUGUGUAAGAAAACUUGUGGAUAAUAGUAGUAUACGCGCCAGGUAAUAAUAAAAAGAAUUGGCAAAGGACAAUCUACUUGUCAUUUUAGUAUUAGGUAAUAUUAAUAAUUAUUAUGUAAUUAUGGGAAGUAGAUUUUUUGGCAAAUAAUUAAAACAAAAUCAGAUAGGCUAUAAAAUGAUAUUAUGCACAACUAGCAAAUUUUAAUUUGCAGUAGAUAAUCCAUAGUUACAGGAUUGACACAUAAUAGAUUCCAAGUAGUAAAUCAAAAAAAAGGUAAUAGAAAAUAAAAAUUAUAUCAUACGAUAAUGAUUAUAAUGCAUUAGCUAGACAAAUAAGGAAAGGGUUCUGUGUAAUAUUUAAUCCUCAAAUAUUUUAAGAAAAUAAUAAAUAUAGUUCGAAUAAAGUGAACUAGUAUAAAUUUUAAAAACACUUAGUAAUAUUUAUUGCUGGUAAUUUAGAAAAUAAGUAGAUAAAGAAAUGAUCCAAAUAAAAAAUAACGAUUCAAAUCCAAUUUAUUUAAUCAGUAUUAAAAAAAAAGUAAAAAAUAAGAAACUUCCUCUUUGCAAACUUUCCUUGGAAUAACUGCAGUUAUUCCUUGUUUUCUCUAUUUUUAUAAUUUUUAAUUUUUCCUGUAAUGUAAUUUCUCCAGCAUAGAAUGUGAAGUAGGACAUUCUCUGUUUUUAUUUCUUUUAUAUUCUUGUCAUAAGCAAUAAGCAAUUUCGGCUUUAAUAUAUAAGAAACGAUAUUGACAUUUUCUUCUUCGAUAUCAUUUAUAUUAUAUAAAAGACAAUUUCUUCAAUAUAAAAGCAAAAUAAUUACUACUGUUAACUGCAAUAAAUAGAACACAAUGCGAGAUACCAUUUUUUUGAUAGAAUUUUUAUUUGGUAAAAGGUAAUUAGGAAAGUAAGUCUACUCAAUAUAUGUAUUAAUUAUAUAAUUUUAUUGUAUUAAAGCGUUCAAUGUCAAUACAUUCUUAGGUUUCUUUAUCUCUUUAUUAUAUUUGUUGGUUAUAUUAUGUCAACAAAAUAUACUUCAUAAGUGUAUCCACUUAUUAUGAUACUAUUUUACUAUUUUCACAGUCAAUUCCAUUUAUAUUUGUGAAGAGUAUAUUAACUAUUCUGUAUAUAUUUUUUUCAUUUCUUUAAAAGAAAUCUAUACUUGUGAACCAAUUAUCAAAAUAAAUUAGAUAAAAUAAACUUUUUUGCACAAUUCUGGAUUAUUUUACACUAAUAUUUUUACUUAUAUUUAUGACAGGUAAUUAGACAACAUGUUUCACUUUACCUUUAAUUUCACUUACUUUCAAAAAAUUUCAAGCUAAAAAUGUAUGUCAGACAAUGAUCUUUCUGUUGUUCUAUUUUAGAUGAUAUGUUCCAGAAAAUUUAUUUUCGUGUUAGAACGCUGAAAGAUACAAUCCGCAUUUAAUUAUAAAAUCAUAUAAGAUGAAUAUGACUUUUUUCAAAGUAACUCGAUAUUUGCUGAUUUGAAACACUCUUUUAUUUAUUGCAUAUGGCCAAAUAUAUAUAUAUAUAUAUAUAUAUUGAUCAUUUAAUUAUAGAAACACAAUAAAAGUACAGAUUAAAUAAAUAAGAGUUUAAGAAAUGUUACUUUUAUUAUAUUUAUUUUAUUGUUUACAAUUCGAAUCAAAAGGGAAAUUUUAUUAAUUUUAUAUAAUUAAUAAAGUAAUACGAUAUAUAAUUUUCAUAGAAAAUGACAGACUAAAAACAUAAUAUUUUUUAGAAAACAAUACAUGCGGUCGUAAUUGAUUCGUUUUGAAAAAUUGUACAUAAAAGCCAAAAUCCCAAAGAAUGUCAAAUUCCAAGAAGUACGAAUAUCAUCAUCAAGAAUCAUUCAACUUUAUAAAUUUAUAUUGAAUUAUAUCUGAUAUCCAAUGUUAAAUGUAAAAUAGUACCAUCGUAUGUAAGUCAUUAUAUCAAAUAUUUAUACGAUAUCAGAUAUUCUAUCUACCCCAACGGAUAAGAAUUUUCAGAGCCAUCUUUAUCAAUCUAGUUUAUAAUCAUCAGCUGUAUCUUCGAUAUUAUAAAUGAAGAUUUUAUCAAUUUUUGCAUAUAAUCGAUAGAAUAUUCGUUUUUUAAGAAAGAAGAGAAAUCAAAGUUAUUAUCUACUUUGAAAUAUUUCCUGCUCAAUAUGAUUAUUGGACAUGUUUGUGUGCACGUGCAUAUGUACAAUAUAUAUAAAAUUCUUAUAUUUGAUGAGAAUAAUAUAAAUAUAAAUAAUUGUACUGUAAAAAUGGAAGUAAAAUUGUUAUUGAUAUAAAUUUAAUGUUAAUAAUAUUGUUAAUUAUAUAAAUUGAAUAUAAUAAUAAGUUUAUUAAUUAGUUUAGUAGUUUGUUAUUAGCUUAGUACUUCAGCUAUUAUUAUUCAAGUAAAAAGUUUAAUCUUAUUAAUAUUAUCAAUAUUAAUAAAAUACUACAAAGUAUUUAAUCUUUAUAAGAAAUAACAAUUUAGAAAAAUUAUUGAUUAUUUUCAGGAAAAAAUUUGUGCACUGUCCACUUGUUUUCAACUUAGCAUGUCUUAUACGCAGAGACUUAACGAUGUCUAAUGAAAAGUUAAAUUCUAUUAAUGGUAUCGUAGUUAAAUGUGUAAUUUUAUUAGAAAAUAACAAAUUGUAAACAUUACCAAUAUUUUUUAAAGGACCAUAAAUCGUUUCAAUGGAGUAUCUGUAGAAGCUUUUGCGUCUUAUUUCGUAUAUUAGGAUCAGUGUAUAAUGGAAAAUUAUCAAGAACGCAAUACUUCUAUAUUAUCAUUACUUUCUCAAGCGAAUCUACUACAAUUUUAACCAAUUUCAUUUUCAUGGAUGUGAAUUUAUCUCAUUUAAGAUCUAUCUACUAUGGAUAAAUUAGCAUCAUUCAUUGUCAACCUACAUCAUGGAGGAGUGUUCAAGAGCCAUUGUAGAACUUCUUAAGUAAUGGCCAUGGCCACAUUCGAACAAUCGAGACUACGUGGACUAUGCCUGGAUAUGUAUCAAUGAUGCGACCUAUCGACCAUUGGAUCGGUAGUGCAUUGUACUCUUUGAAGAGCACGAAUAUGCGGAUCUUAAGAUUAUUUGUUUCUCCCCGAUGCCAUUUCCUUCUCGCUGUCAGCUCGCCGUGAAUACCGUUCUUUUUUAUGAGUAUACAUCAAGAAGGUCCGUCGAGCUAGACUCAACAGCUGGAGGAAGUUAGUAACAUUGUACGAUAACUUAAAGUCUUGGGGCUUCGUUUAUAAGCAUUGAUCUAACAAGCUCCGAGUCGAGAAGGUUAUUAGCACCCUUAGGCGAAACGGCAGUAUUAUAAAAAAAAUAUGGAAGGGAGAUUCAAAUGCUCUACAAAUGAUCUAACAACGAGUGUUCACAUCGAGGGUUACGUGCGCGGCAGCAGGAUGGCCUGAUCUCUGCAGAGAGAGGGGAAAUAUGCGCUGCAAAGUCGGGCUCUUAUAACGAUUACGUUAGCGUACCGCAUGGCAUCGACGGAGCCCAUAUGCGUCUUUGUCAGCGAACCCCCGAUUGAUCUUCAACUUCAUAAAUAUCGGGAAUUCUACAGCGAAAGAAAAACAGGUACCUUACAUCGAAAUCGGAACCAGAGAUAUAAACAACAAAUCGUGACGCGAGAAGUCAGAAGAGGAAAUCCGCGUUAGUGAAAAAGACGUCAGAGAGGGAAUGAACGCCCGUUUCAUCUCUCCAAACUACUAUACAUAUAGGCUCAAAGCCAAACUCGCAUCAUCGAGUCUUGCCACAGAGGAGAAGUGCGAGUGUGGUAAAUGGACACGGUUCAGCAUUACAUUCUUGACUGUUUGAUCUUUGAAGAGAGUCCCUCUGGAGAAAAUAAUAGGCGUCAGCAUAGACCGAAGUAGCCAAACAUCUCGUCUCCUUGGCUGAAGUCUUCUCUCUCUUCGACGAUUUUUCUAGAAAGACCCUUUCUAUCAAGGGCAUUUAGUUUUUAGAUCCUUUUCAGCCGAAAUUAUCGAAGUUCCUGGUGGUAGGGGUGGCCGCCUGUAACCUUCUCAGAUCAACCCACUCUCGAGCAGGGAGAGAUCGAAGGAGCUCGUACGCCAUUUUCUAUUUUUUCACCCCGCAAUCUACAGUCCUAUCCUCUCUUCCCAUCCUACGAAAUAAGUGUCACGAAACAUGACACUAUGAGUGGUUCCCCGUGGACUCGGCGGGAGUCAGCGCGGCUAUUCGUUACUGCGGGUACGUCAGCCGUGACAAAACUGCUCACCUUGCGGGAAUUUUGGGUUUUCCCGAGUCCGUGCACUUAAUAUAAAAUAGGGGAUGGAUGGUUCCGUAGCGUAUGCCAGUUUUGACGAGAUAGCAUAAGAACCGGCACUCUACGGAUGUUCUCCUUUAAAAUAGUUGUUAUCAUGAACCCCGCAGAUCGGUAAGUCAACUCGUUCACGCGGAAAAUUCAGCUGCUUACCCAUUUUUUCUGUAAUAAAAUACGACUGAGAAGUGCUAUCUAUUAGAACUGGAUAAGUUUUCGAUCUAUUAUUACGGAUAAGUUUCCCGCAUCUAAGUUGUACUACGGCCGUUAGUAACAAUUUACAACCAUAUGCGGCCGCGGAAAUACUCGUAUUAUUUGAUGUUUUAGGAACCGUCGGUGUAGUUCCUCAUGAAGCAAAUGGUAAUGUUGGUACUUACGUCGUCUGCAAGACAAUAAACUUGUACUUGCUCACGCCAUGGUCUACGCAAAGACAAAUAUGCUGAACUUUAAAAUUUUUGACGAAUCUGCGACGCUGUUGGAUAGUUGUCUCGAUAGCUUGGCGCACUGAAAGGUAUAGUAGCUCGAUUCACAAAUGGCGCAAAGUAUAUUUACGGUUAAUAGGAAGGUGUGUCGAGCUCAUUCUGUAGUUUUGAUGGCUUGUUUGUGGAUUUCGAAGAUCUGUAUAGUAUCCACACUGAUGAUACAUUGAAUUAUUUUUCAGAAUCGCAUUACUUUAUUUAUACGUGAUAACCAGUUAUACGUAUAAACAAGUAUAUCUUAACGUGUACGCAUGAGUAAAUCGCAAUUCUCAUGCAAAAAACUAAAAGAUUACUUACGAGUGGGAAAUCCAUUAGAUCCGAGGAUCUUUGUAUGUUUCUUUGUCAAGUCAUGAGACUAGGAUAUAAGUGAUUAUCGUAUCGCGUGACGGUUGCUCGAUUUGCUUCAGAAUACGUUUCGCCAAGGCUCAAAUACUGAACUAUAUCUGUGUACAAGGCUCUUCGCAUUUUUGUUAUUCGAAUAUCGCUCUUAAGUGCCGUUAUACUAUUAAGCUUGGUUCAUUAUAAAAAUCUGAAGUACUAAAUUUACUCAUUGUAAGAAUAAUUUUAUUUCUUGUUUAAAAAUCUAUGGAUUAUUUAUUUUUUGAAAGUAUUGUAAUAAAUUAAUAUCAGACGUACUCACAUCCAUUAUUUUCUUGAUAUGACAUAACGUAAUUGUACAAACAUCAUCAGCUUGAACUCAUUGCAGAGCGUUCCAAGAAUAUACAUCAUAAGUUCUGAACGUAAUUUUUAUACGGUUUUAUUGAUCUAGCAUGAAUUCGAAAGAGAAAGAGUUCCUAUAUGAGAUCAUCCUUCACGAUUUUCCAAACAGGUUUUCAUUUGUGUGAAAAUUAUUUUUGAAAAUUACUUAUUUUUUAAAUAUGACUUUUGUAAAGAUAAUAACAUUUUUUUUUUUAAUCCGAUAAGAUUGUUUCGUGAAAAAAACAAAUCACCAAAUUGAACAAGAACUACGUCCAAGAAAAUUCAUGACGUAAGCUCUCAAAGCAGACGUACAGUACAAUAAAGUCACCCUCGAUAUCGACGUCGGCAGCGAUUUCGUUUUCGGCACCGAUGUCGAUAAAGUUCGUUCUCGGUCGUCAAAUUAGACUUUCUGUCCAAUUGUAGGGAGUUCGUUUCAAAUCCAAGUCUGUUUUUAUCUCUUGGUUCUUAAACUACCUUGCCUGUUUUAUCUUACGAUCACUCAGUUCUAUCAAUAAUAAUCUCAUACUUGAAAUUGAUUAACAUUUUAUCCAAUAUCUGCUAUACUCAGGUUCUACACAUUAAGUCUGUUGCAGAGAAGAAUAAAAGUAUUAGCAAUUAUUCCGACAGAUGAGCUAAAAAACAAAUGCAUAUUUCUUCGUUCAUUUAUAUGUAACUUCACUCAUUGUUCUACAAUGACUUGGGAAAAAAUAAUUUAUAUAAUCUUUUUGCAGACAAUCUGUUUCUAUUAGGAAUAAGUUCAUUUUCAGCUAUGGAAAAUAAGUGUUCAGACGUGACAGAAUUUUCUUCUGUACAAAGAUAUCGAUAAACCAAUUUUAUUUAUUGCUCUUUUGUACAUUGUAUUUUACUGGUAAUUUCAAUAUUUUAGAUGAUCGCAAUUUUUCAAUGAGCUGGCUCAAAUAGUUUUAAAGAACGGUACCCUUAACCAAUAUUAAAAUUACCUUUAAUAUGGAGCUUACUACAAGCUCGAACAAGGUAUGUUUUCUCUACAUAACAUUUGACUUCUCAAUGCAAAUCUAAAUAAUAUUAUGCACCAACUAAUUAUGCUUACAUAAUGCAUAUUCGAAAUAUCAGUAUAAAUGUUUGGGUGUACCAUCGUUGACCCAAAAAUAAUCUAAGAAAUAAGCUUUUAUUUUGUUUUUAUUCGUUUGGUUAAAAUAUAUCGAAUUUUUGAUUAUGGAUAUAUCCGAAUCUCAUCGAUUAUUACUUUAUUUUGUAAUAAGCACAAUGUUGUUGUAACAAUCGUCUAAUAGCAUUUUUUAUUAAUAAUACAAUUUUUAUUAUUUAAUGUUCAUUUCCAUUAUUUCAGUAUGUUAUUAUUUAAAAACCUACGAUUCGUGGUCGUAAGUACAUCGCGCUUCUAAAAUAUGCGUCGAUUCUCGAAUCGGGCAGAAAGCAUUGGGGAUAAAAAACCAUAAACCUCUCUUCCAUUUUUUCUGAUCAAAAUCGGUCAUUUUUUUUGGUUGACUGCACAAUUGAGAAAUUGUUGCUUACCAACAACUUAUUCUUAUGGUACCUAAACAGUAAAAUAACGUUAAUGUUUCUAAGAAACUCUGUACUUGAUACACGUACCUAGCAACAUCUUCUAUGUUCGAUAUGCCAUUUCCUGGCGUGUAAGCAUAAUUUUUACGUUGCUUUCCGUGGUAUUAAUCUCUUCAGGGAAGUUGGGUAUUCAAUGAGGGUAUUGGCAUUAAUUAGUCUAGAGAAACUGCCACGAAUGGUUGAUUUUGUUAUUAGUUUUUUUUUCAUUUCUGAAAUGUUAUUAUUUACUCUGACGCGGGGAUACGGGCCCGCAUGCAGAGCGGCAUGUACACUUACGUGGGAGAAAUGAGACCCAUAAGUAGUUUUCAACCAAUUCUCGAACAGUAAAGUCGAAAUUCAGCUCUUCGUUUCGGUAUUAGUCAAUAUAAAAUAAUGUUACAAUUGUUCUUGUAAUCUAUAAUUAUAGCGGUUAAAUUGUAGCUUGUUAACUUAGUGAAAUUAGUGAAUUUGUUUAAUGAUCUUAUUCGUAGAUUUAUUCAUUAAGAAAAGUUUAUUAUGUUUUGAUUUAUUCAAUUAUAUGUUAUUACUGUUGCGAUUCUAUAAUGUUAUAUUCUAUGACUUUUCCUUCUGAAUCCUUUUUAUAUAAAUUCAAGCCAACAAUGAAGUAACUGGAACUACAAUUCCGUUGGAUAUUGCGCAAACACCAAUUUCGAACCAUAACCGCGUGCAGCGGGUACAAAUCCUGAAAGAUAAGAGCUCCUCGGGAUCGAUAUAAUAUUCGGAGGCACGGAUCAGUCGUAACAAUAAAUAAUUUUUAAUAUCUUCCAAUUUUGUACAAGUUCUCGUCCUUCUAUUACUUAUUGUUCUGAAUACUGGAGCAGUUUUCGACACUGUUUACUUUAUUCAAACGGUGUAAUUUGUCCACGAAUACUACACCCACAUUUG